rnacentral:rRNA from 1 species
UCCUGGCUCAGAUUGAACGCUGGCGGCAUGCCUUACACAUGCAAGUCGAACGGCAGCACGGGUGCUUGCACCUGGUGGCGAGUGGCGAACGGGUGAGUAAUACAUCGGAACAUGUCCUGUAGUGGGGGAUAGCCCGGCGAAAGCCGGAUUAAUACCGCAUACGAUCUACGGAUGAAAGCGGGGGACCUUCGGGCCUCGCGCUAUAGGGUUGGCCGAUGGCUGAUUAGCUAGUUGGUGGGGUAAAGGCCUACCAAGGCGACGAUCAGUAGCUGGUCUGAGAGGACGACCAGCCACACUGGGACUGAGACACGGCCCAGACUCCUACGGGAGGCAGCAGUGGGGAAUUUUGGACAAUGGGCGAAAGCCUGAUCCAGCAAUGCCGCGUGUGUGAAGAAGGCCUUCGGGUUGUAAAGCACUUUUGUCCUGGAAAGAAAUCCUUGGUUCUAAUACAUCCGGGGGAUGACGGUACCGAAGA